CCCAUGCCUCCUGCCGCGGUC
rnacentral:miRNA from 1 species